AAUUUAAUCUCAUCUUUUCGUCACGUUCGUUAAUUCUUCCAACACGAGUAUUACAUUUUCUUUCACUUAAGAACAAAGCUUAUUAAGAACAAUGUGCACUUUACCAGGUUAUUCACUCAGUUCUGAAGCGCACGAUGCCUAUUGUCUUGUUACUUACACAUUCCUCCCACACCACACCACACCAUUGUUAUCACCACCAUUGCCUUCGUUAGUCAUUUAUUUAAGUUUCCAAGCCACCGACUGAAUCAUGUGUGUAUCUUGCAAUAGUGAGGUUAUGACAUCGUGUUUCCUCGCUACAUAACACAACAUUGCUGCAUCCUGGUGACACACAAGCACGCACAUACGCGCCAGACAUGCAUCCCCAGCACAUCAGUCACGGCCGAUGCAUUACGCGGCCACACUAAGUCGUUGGGAAGUUAAAUGCAUGAUUCGCGCUCAACUUGCAUACAUAGAGGUCACGCCCGUCAUAAGCAUCAUGCAGGAGCAGCAAAACGGACACCACAAGGGAACAAAAAGGAAGAGUAAGCAGCAGCACCACCACCACCACCACCACCACCACCACACCUGUUGGCCCUUUGGGAUCUUUGUGUUAAAAGGAGAAGAAAGACGGUCAACUUCACUCAAAUUUUCGAUGUAAUUGUUAAAAACUGAGGAAUAUGUUGUAAUAUGAAAUAGAAAUAACAGAUUAAAAAUUUGUAAUAAUAAAAUUCAUUAACUUACUUACCAAAAAAUAUAUAUAUUUCAGAUAUCUUUUGUUUCUGAAUGCAAGUGUGUGUGUGUGUGUGUGUGUGUGUGUGUGUGUGUGUGUGUGUGUGUGUGUGUGUGAGAGAGAGAGAGAGAGAGAGAGAGAGAGAGAGAGAGAGAGAGAGAGAGAGA